GACGAACGCUGGCGGCGUGCUUAACACAUGCAAGUCGAACGGAAAGGCCCUGCUUUUGUGGGGUGCUCGAGUGGCGAACGGGUGAGUAACACGUGAGUAACCUGCCCUUGACUUUGGUAUAACUUCAGGAAACUGGGGCUAAUACCUGAUAGGAGCUCCUGCUGCAUGGUGGGGGUUGGAAAGUUUCGGCGGUUGGGGAUGGACUCGCGGCUUAUCAGCUUGUUGGUGGGGUAGUGGCUUACCAAGGCUUUGACGGGUAGCCGGCAUGAGAGGGUGAACGGGCACAUUGGGACUGAGAUACGGCCCAGACUCCUACGGGAGGCAGCAGUGGGGAAUAUUGCACAAUGGGCGGAAGCCUGAUGCAGCAACGCCGCGUGCGGGAUGACGGCCUUCGGGUUGUAAACCGCUUUAGCAUGUGACGAAGAGUGAGUGACGGUAAUGGGUAAAGAAGCACCGGCUAACUACGUG
rnacentral:rRNA from 1 species